GAUGAACGCUGGCGGUCUGCUUAACACAUGCAAGUCGAACGGGUUCUUCGGAACUAGUGGCGGACGGGUGAGUAACGCGUGAGAAUCUGCCUUCAGGUUCGGGACAACAGUUGGAAACGACUGCUAAUACCGGAUGUGCCUAUUGGUGAAAGAUUUAUUGCCUGAAGAUGAGCUCGCGAUAGAUUAGCUAGUAGGUAGUGUAAUGGACCACCUAGGCGACGAUCUAUAGCUGGUCUGAGAGGAUGAGCAGCCACACUGGGACUGAGAACACGGCCCAGACUCCUACGGGAGGCAGCAGUGGGGAAUUUUCCGCAAUGGGCGAAAGCCUGACGGAGCAAGACCGCGUGAGGGAUGAAGGCCUAUUGGUUGUAAGCCUCUUCUCUCAAGGAAGAUAAUGACGGUACUUGAGGAAUCAGCAUCGGCUAACUCCGUGCCAGCCGCCGCGGUAA
rnacentral:rRNA from 1 species